UACCUGAGAAACAGAAAGUGCAGAGCAAGCAGCUUCCUUCCAAAGCUGUGGGAAUGGCAGAGAUGGCUGCCUGGACUGUCACCCAAGGUCCUUCUGCAAUGCUGGGGCAUCCGUCUUCAGGCUACUGGCCCAGUGUAUGACGGACUUUUAUGUGAAGGAGUAAUAUUGAAGGACUUUCCCAACUUGUCUUGGCAAAGCUCACCAGUCAACUUCCUCCAUGUUCUGCUUGUCCACUGUUAGGACAGCAUGCAGUCUGCAGUUGAAGCAAGGGCAGGUUUUUGGCUGGUGCCUUGCUUUGCCACAUUUGAAGUAAAAUCCAUAUGAAAUUUCUUCAGUGCCCACCAUCCUCUCUGAAUUAGAAUGCGGUGCUGCCAGGCACAGUCUUGCCUCAGUGUUAUGGAAAGCCUCGUGUUAAUAAAGCAGUUUUGAUGCCA